AGCGAACGCUGGCGGCAGGCCUAACACAUGCAAGUCGAACGAACCCUUCGGGGUUAGUGGCGGACGGGUGAGUAACACGUGGGAACGUGCCUUUAGGUUCGGAAUAACUCAGGGAAACUUGAGCUAAUACCGAAUGUGCCCUUCGGGGGACAGAUUUAUCGCCUUUAGAGCGGCCCGCGUCUGAUUAGCUAGUUGGUGAGGUAAUGGCUCACCAAGGCGACGAUCAGUAGCUGGUCUGAGAGGAUGACCAGCCACAUUGGGACUGAGACACGGCCCAAACUCCUACGGGAGGCGGCAGUGGGGAAUCUUGCGCAAUGGGCGAAAGCCUGACGCAGCCAUGCCGCGUGGAUGAUGAAGGUCUUAGGAUUGUAAAAUCCUUUCACCGGUGAAGAUAAUGACUGUAGCCGGAGAAGAAGCCCCGGCUAACUUCGUGCCAGCCGCCGCAGUAACAC
rnacentral:rRNA from 1 species